CUCAAUGGCCGGUUGGAAAAAUCACAUUGCGGCCCGAUUUGCGCCAAUCGACCGCCGCCGUGCGUUGCGAGCUUCCAAUCACUGCGACGGCCCGGUUCUUUCAGAACCGGAUUCCUCAGCCCCCAGCCCCCCGGGGAUGUCAGAAUCGGGCCUCGUCGCAGUGACCCCAACUACGCCUCAGACCAGCGCGAGCUGGUCUUUUU
rnacentral:sRNA from 1 species